AUGAGAGGGUGAUGAAAAACGGGAGGGGGGUGGGGGGAAUUGGGCCGCAAUCCCAUCCAAUCAGAAAGCUUUGAAUAAUUAAACUGAUCAGCUUAAUUAGCUCAAUUAAGUUGAUUUGACCACGGAACAUGGCCAUAUGGCGAGAGGAAACAAAAGAGGGGGGAACUAAUUAAAAGUAAAAUAAUGAGGAUUUUAAUUAAGCAGUUCCCCAGACGUCAGCAAGCAGGGAUCUGGAGCCAUAAUUAAAAAGUGCUGCGGUGCUGGCAACAUUUUCUCCCCCCCCUGUUUUAAUAACUGUGAGGGGCUCCAUCCAUCUAAUUAAAUCUGUAAAUGAAUUAGCAACAUCGAGGGUCUUCACUUGAGUUUUUUUUUUUUAACACCCCACCUUCCAGUCUCACUUCCCAAAUAACUUUGUACACAUACUGCAUGCUCAGUUACUCUCACACACCCACACAGAGAUACAUGUGUGUGUGCACACACCUCUUACAGCACAACGUCUGUCAUUAAUGAAACUAAUCAUUAUUGAUACAGUGCCACAGGGUUGAGGCAGGGGCUCAGAGACAGACCAAGCAUCCCCAGAGUCAUUCAAAGCCUGAAAUGUGUGCACACAUAACUCUGUCACUCUACUCAGUUUUAUGUUGUUUACCAUCUAUAGCAGUGAUGGUGUGUUAUAAUGCCAGGCAAUUAUCUAGAUGAAUCACUGGCACUGUUGUAUUGUAAAAUUAGAAAGCUGUUUGUACUUCAUACUCAACCUCUAGAUUUAGAACGCCACCAUUUCACACACAAUAUGUGAGUGGGUUUAGGUGUGUAAAUUUGUUAUAUGUAAUGAAUGCACAGUUUUAAUGGUGUACUGUAAUCCUGUUAUGGAAGCUUCCACACUGGAGAGCAAUAUGACUCUCUUGCUUUCUCUCAUGGUAGCAUCUGGAGUCUUCUUUACAGACCUAAUCCCCCCUGUUAAUUGCAUGGGUUAGCCUUCGAUUACCUCCGAGCUGGUUUGUCCUAAUGAACGACAGGCGAGCAUGCUGUGAAUUAAUUGCUUUGGUACAAGAGUGCCGUUGCUUCACUCCUGUGUAAAGUCAAGAGGUGUUUUGUCCUAGUUUGCAAUAUUGGAAGGACACAAACAUUUGUCCUCAGUUUUGGAGGCCCAGCUGAACAUAUGAGUAACGGAGAUUUCACAGCUAGGGGUCUUCAUUUUGAAACUGCUCGUAAAACCUCAAAGCAUGUGAGUAUUGGCCAGUGUUGAGGGCCAGAUUCGGGCAGUAUGACCUCAUUUGAGUCCCCUUGGCAUGUCUGGGGUAAUGCAACAAUCAUAAUAGGAUGGGGGGGGGGAGUGGUACAGGGACUGCAUUGUCCUGGAUCCUAUCAAGAAGAACUAUCAGAUAAAGCUGGAGAUCUGUUCACAGAGCCUUUGAUGUCAUUUAAAUAGAGCUCCAGAGUCUAAUACCAGAUUCUGAUUCUUUCUUAUCUUAGUUUUCAACCUCUCUUAUCAGAUUAUGAUCAGAGACAAUCCCAGACCAGCCAAUUUCUACUGUGAGCCUCAGGCCACACUGUGCUUAAGUGAGCUCUGGAACAGCUGGCUUCAGCAGCAGUUCUUGGGUACAAAUCUACAGUAUCCGGAUGAGAUUAUCCACUGAAGAAAAGAAACGGCAUCUAACUACAAUACCACGGACACGGUCACGGACUACAACACCCAACAAACAAAGACACUGUCACCUUCACCAGCUUACUGAAGGAGAUAAGGUUAGGGUUACAUGAAUGCCAGGACCCAAGGUUUCCCAGCAGAACAUUGCCCAGAGCAUCACACUGCCUCAACCAGCUUGCCUUCUUCCCAUAGUGCAUCCUGUUGCCAUCUCUUCUCCAGGUAAGCGACGCACACACACCUGGCUGUCCACAUGAUGGAACGAAAAAUGUGAUUCAUCAGACCAGGUCACCUUCUUCCAUUGCUCUAUGGUCCAGUUCUGCUGCUCACAUGCCCACAGUAUGUGCUUUCGGUGGUGGACAGUCAGUGGUCAGCAUGGGCACUAUGAACGGUCUGCGACUACGCAGCCCCAUAUGCAGCAAGCUGCGAUACACUGUGUGUUCUGACUCCUUUCUAUUAUAGUCAGCAUUUGCAUUUUCAAUGUGAGAUCCGGCAAAAUGGGCUAGGCUUCACCCCCCACAAACAUCAGUGAGCCUUGGGGACCCAUGACCCUGUCACUGAUUCACUGGUUGUGAAUCAAACACAUCCAACUUACGUGAUGAACCAACACAUUCCAACUUCAAGAACUGACUGUUCACUUGCUGCCUAAUAUAUCCCAUAUAUCCCAACAGGUGCCAUUGUAACAAAAUAAUCAUUGUUAUUCACUUCAUCUGUCAGUGGUUUUACUGUUAUGGCUGAUGGGUGUAUAUUUAUAUAGUUAUUUUGUGACUUGGAACAAAAUUAGUGCUGUGUCCUCUAGAGCUUGGUAUGAAUACUCCAAAUUUAAUGGAACCAGCCUUUUAUAAGUGUUCUGAUAUUUUCCUGUUGACCACUGAGUGACAAUACUCACUUCCUCAGCAUGCCAAACUUCUGUGGUCAAGGCUUCCCUGGACUCUCUUUGUUGCUCUACCUCUCAUAUUCAGAUGUCAACUCUGUCUGGUGCCUGAUUUGGUGUCACUAUGUUAACAGGAACUCAAAUAGCUCAGGUAAAAUUAUACAGAAAAUUUAAGUAAUUUUUCUUAUGAAUUAUAAGCUGUGUAAAAUGUUUGUUCCCAGAGUUUCUUCCAGGGACCAAUGACCUGAAUUUCUGUAAAGCUGCUUUGGGCAAUGUCCACUGUUAAAAGUGCUAUACAAAUACAACUGAGUUGAAUUGAAUUUAACAACCUAGGGUUUAAACAGAAGCAAACCCCUUUCUUUUCUUGAAAAAUGGACAAAGGUGGCUUGGGGUACAGUGGAGUCCAAUCAUAUACUGUCUAAUCAUAUACUGUACAGUAUAUCAGCCAUCAAACACAUGUUAAUCUUCAUAAAGUCCUUGUUCAUAACCCCGGGCAUUCUAAAUUCAGCUGAAAUACUAAUGGCCUCCUUUGAAUAAUCAAUGAUUUUUUAAAAACUGCCUAUAUUUGACAGAUAUAAGCCAAAGUUUCAUUGAUUUGUUCCCCUUUCUAGAUGUUGUGCAAUCAUAGGGCAGUGUGCUCAGAGCCACUCUUAGCACCAUAUACUUAUUAUUGUAUGCAGUGUUGAAAAAUGGGAACUGCAACAAGUACUAAUAGAAGCCCAUUAUGGCAUGUAUUAGUCUACACCACGCUCACUCUUCGAACAUUUUGUUUAUGAGUGUGGAGGGGAAGUGGACACGACUCGAUUCACACACUGUGAAAGUGAUGAUAGAAACCACACCUGCUAUAUCAAACCCACAUGCAUUCCUUUUAAAAAAUUUAGGUGAGUUAUCAAAAUUGGUUGUCUUUUUAGUCCAUAGCUUUCAGUCAUUUAACUGAUGAGAAAGGAUGUGAUGAGCAAGUUUAAUCCACAGUGUUAUGUAGCUAACUAUGUAAGUGGCUAUGUUGGUAAUGUGUCUUCGGAAUGCAAUUAUCAGCAACCAGAAACCACCAUAAUUGCCCCAACUACUUAUAAACCUAUAAUGUCUGAUUUCAAUAAGCCAUUAUAGAAAAAUUUAGAUAAAUGAUACAAAUUUGGUAGGACUGUUAUGUCAGAGAUGUUUGGAUUGAUAAACUAUGGAAAUUGUAUUGUUUGACUCUUUGUUAGGUGAUUCAUCUUAGAUCAGACUACAUCUUUCUGUUCUUAAAAAAAAGAAAGAAAACUGGUGUACACAGUUUGGAAUUAUUCUAUAUAUUCACUAGAGAGUAGUCUAUAGUAUAAUUUAAGUGUGAUAGCCUCUUGACUUAAUUUUGUUUGAGGCUAUGUCCUUCCCCACUGAUAUCAACAGUAUGAUUAUGAGCAGUGCCUGUCAGUGGAAUUGAUAAUCCUUAGAGAUAUUUAUACUGGUGAAUCUAAAUUAGUCAACUACUCUGUAUGUCCAAAAGUAUGUGGACAUCAGCCUGAUCACACCCAUAUGUGCUUGUUGAAAAUCCCAUUCCAGAAUGAAUCCCCCUUUUUUGUUACAAUAACCUCCAUUUUUCUGGGAAGGCUUUCCACUAGAUUUUGGAGCAUGUCUGUGGCGAUUUGUGCCCAUUUAACCAAAAGAGCACAAAGCCUGGCACACAUUUAUCAUUCCAGUUUAUCCCAAAGAUGUUCAUUGGGGUUGAGGUCAAGAUUCUGUGCAGGUGACUCGAGUUCUUCCACACCAAACUUGGCAAAUCAUGUCUUCAUGGACCUUGCUUUGUGUACAGGCUUUGUCAUGCUGGAACAGGUUUGGGGUUCUUAGUUCUAGUGAAGGGAAGUCUUAAAACUAUAGCAUACAAAUAUAUCCUAUACAAUUAUGUGCUUCAACUUUGUAGCAACUGUUUGGGGAAGGCCCAUAUAUGGGUAUGGUGGUCAGGUGUCCACAUAUUUUUGGCCAUAUAGUAUAUCUCAACUGAGUAGGGUCUAUAAUUAAAUUAAAUUAAAUAUAAACUGACCUUGCUCUGACCUGAACACUAUACAUGUUGCCAUAUUGGUUAAACACAGUAACUGAAUAAUACUUCCAGUAAAAUCAGAUUGAAAACUAAACUUAACAUGGGUACUACAGUAGUUAAUGGGGAAAUAUAUGGAGGUACUUGUUAUAAUAAAAUCUCCAACCAGUUUGGAUAAAGACCAUUCAAGAUUGUUCACAGGUUGUUUAUGACUCCUCAGGAAUUGUGAAAACUCAGUCUAUCCAGAUCAGACAUACACUAAUUAUAUACAGUGCUGUGAAAAAGUAUUUGCCUGAAAUCCUGAUUUCUUCUGUUUUUGUGUAUAACUCAUACUAAAUUGUUUCAGAAAUUAAAUGAAUUAAAUCUAAGAUAAAACAAAAGCAACCUGAGUAAGCACAAAAUACAGUUUUUAAAUGAUAAUGUUAUUUAAUGAAGCAAAAAAAGUUAUCCAAUACCAACUAGGUCUGUGUGAAAAUAUAUUUGCCUCUGUAGUUACUAAUUCCCCAAAUCUGUGAAACUGCAUUCAUAAUGGGGUUCAGCUGGACCAGACACAACCAGGCCUGAUUACUGCAAACCCUGUUCAAUCAAAUCAACACUUAAAUAGAACUUUUCCAAAAGCAUGAAGUUGGUUAAAAGGUCUUACGCAGUAACACACUAUGCCAAAGAUGAAAGAAAUUCCAGAAUGAUGAAGGAGAAGGUGAUUGAAAUACAUCAGUCUGGGGUUACAAGGCUAUUUGAAAGGCUCUGGGACUCCAAAGAACCACAGUGAGAGCCAUUAUCUCCAAAUGGAAAAACUCAGCACAGUAGUGAACCUUCCCAGAAGUGUCCGACCUUCCAAAAUUCCUCCAAGAGCACAGCAACUACUCAUCCAGGAAGUCACAAAAGAGCCAAGGACAAAAUCAAAAGACCUACAGACCUCUCUUGCAUCAAUAAAGGUCACUGUUCAUGACUCCACUAUCAGAAAGACACUGGGUAAAAAUGGAAUCCAUUUAAGAGUGGUGAGGUGAAAACCGCUGCUAACCCAGAAGAACAUUAUGGCUUAUCUGAGUUUAGCCAUAAUGAUAAUGAGUCUUUAUUGAUCACAUAUGCACAGUGAAAUUCUUUUAUUCACAUACCCCAGCACAUUAGGAAGCUGGGGUCAGACAUGAUACAGAGUAGAUCAGCAAGGGUUAAGGACCUUGCUCAAGGGCCCAAUAGUGGCAGCUUGGCAGUGCUGGGGCUUGAACCCCUGACCUUCUGAUCAAUAACCCAGAGCCUUGGAAGAAUGUUCUGUGGAUUGAUGAGCCAAAAGUGGAACUGUUUAGAAGACAGGGGUCCUGUUACAUCUGGUGUAAACCAAACACAGAAUUCCACAAAAAGAUCAUCAUACCUACGGUCAAGCAUGGUGGAGGAAGUGUGAUGGUGUGGGGAUGUUUUGUUGCUUCAGGGCCUGGGCAACUUGCAACAAUUGAGGGGAAACAUGAGUUCUGCUCUCUAUCAGAAAAUCCUAAAGGAGAAUGUUGGUCUUCAGUCCGUAAGUUGAAACUCAAGUGGAUUAUGCACCAAGACAAUGAUCCAAAGCACAGGAGCAAAUCCACCUCUGAAUGGCUCAAAAAAGCAAAAUUAAAGUUUUGGAGUGGUCUAGUCAAAGUCCUGACUUGAACCAAUUGAGAUGCUGUGGCAGGACCUUAAACGGGGAGUUUAUGCUUGAAAUCCCUCCAGUGUGGCUGAACUAAAGCGAUUCUGCAAAGAAGAGUGGGCCAAAAUUCCACCACAGCACUGUGAAAGACUAUAACGCGUCCAGUUAUCGGAAGCGUUUGGUUGCAUUUGUAUUACGUUGUAUUUUGUUUGAAGAUCUAAAACUAAUUAGUAUGAGAUAGAAUAAAACUGAAGAAAUCAAGGUGGGGAAAAUACUUUAUUAAUUCUUUAUUAAUACAUGCUGGUGAAGGCUCCUUUAUCUAGUUUUGGGUGUGGUAAUGGAGAAUGUCAUAUCCAAUUUGGACAUGCUGAUAGUCCUCCAUCAUAGUCAGUACUAUGUACAGUUCUCAAGCCUGACACAGUGGCAAAAAACCAUAGAGUAUCUCUUGUCAACAAGUUGUUUUUAGAAGUUAUACAAAGUACAUAAUUUUCUUUUUCAGUGUUACACAAACCUACUACUGGGAGUAUAUUAUACUGUUGUAUCAGUUUGCCAAAUCUUUGGACUUUUUAUGUUUUUGGUUUCUUUUUGUUCAUGUAUCAAUCAUUAUUGCACAUUGGAAUGUUCUGUUUCUGUACUCUGUGGUUACCAAUUAGCAAGACCAAAGAGAAAUAAAGAAUUCAACUGUGUGAAGGGUGAGAAGAUAUACAAAUACUGGAUCUUAUUUUCUCAUAUCCUGGUUAACACAGAUAAGCAUCUAUUUGUCAUUAGAUCUAGCUGCAAACACAGAAGUGAACAUUGCAAGAGGCCAAGCAAUUCUGAGAAACUGCUUUUUUGAAAUGAUGAAAAGCUUCUGGAGAGAGCAAGAGAGAGAGAGAGAGAGAGAGAGAGAGAGAGAGAGAGAGAGAGAGAGAGAAGAUUGCUUGAUUUGCAUAAGUUGUGACUUGAUGGUAAUGAGCUGUAAGAGGUAAUUAGCUGGUGACUCAGGUUAAGAGAGGAACUCUGCUCAUUACAGGAGAGAAGAAGAGCCUGGGUCAGGAAGCUAAAGGCCCAGUGGGGGUGCAGGAUGAGAAAGCACUGGAUGUGUGGAGCUGUGGGCUUGAAGAGUUGAAGAGUGAAGAAACAGAAAGAAGUGAUGACACUGUCUAACAGCUGCUUAACACACACUGUGUUCACUUUAUUUGUUUUUCUCUCUAUAAAUCUUCUUUGUCUUGCAGCACUACUGCUGUAGAUCUGCUGUGUGUUUCAGGCAUUGCAAGUGUACAAUCCAAGUGAAGGUUUCUUUCAGAUAAAGCCUGUUGUGUAGAAGACAAUUAACAUGUUUACCCCCUUUUCAAAGAAAAGUCCUUGCACACAUCCGCCUGCCUUGCCAGUUAUUGAAAUUGGCCUCAAAAGAAGGAAAGGAAAGCAUGGAAAAAUGAGCAGGCAGUGUGUUUUCCUUCAAGCCUGUGGGGAAGCCGGACGUGGUGUGUGGGUGCGCUCAGAUAGCGGUGCUUAUCGUGCCCCUGUCUCUCCGUCUUCCUCCUUCCACUUCUCUUCCGACUUCUGGCAUGGGAGGAAGGUUAUGAUGUCAGACCACCGCCGGAGAAAGACUUAAAUGUGAGACAGAGAUAAAAAGAGUGACUAAGAUUCAGAGAGAGAAAAAGAAAAGGAAGAAUGAAAGCAGGAGAGUGACACAGUGCCAAAAGGCAGCGUGGUCAUGUGUGAGGGACUCUGAUCAACUUGCUCUGGCAGGAAAUGAGCACUGUAACAGAAUGCUGCAUGGUGCUGAUGCCGGAGGGCAAAACCCAAAACCUCACAAUGAACAACUCACUCUUUCUCUCUUUCUCUCCUACCCACUCAUCUUCCAUAUCUGGAUUCCCUCUUCCAUCAUUAGCCCUACCUCAGAAUAACCCCCCCACCCACCUUACCCCCCACCCAAACAGGAAAUGAAAACCAUUUUAAAAUCAUUUGGAAACAACAGGGGCUUAAAAUGGGGAAAUAAUCAGCGUGGGACACUAAACAUGAGUAAGUGAGUGAGUGAGAGAGAGAGAGAGGGAGAGAGAGAGAGAGAGAGAGAGAGAGAGAGAGAGAGAGAGAGAGAGAGAAGAUGGCCAGGCAAAUGGACAUAGAUAAAAAAAAGAUGCUCUUUAGUCUGAGAGUUUAUUUUUCAACCACCUCAUACUGUUCGCUUUCUUCUUUUCUCCAUCAUUCCAUCCAUCACAAGAGAAAUCACACUGCAGGAGGCAACCAGCAGACCUCUGAUGCUCCAUCUCCCUAUGCCACACCAGUCUGACCCUGUCCUGACCUUACACAAAAGGUGCCACCUAGGAGGCGCUCUCCCCCUUCCACUGCUCUGAUAACAUCUACUCUGACAUUUCCUUGGCGCAAUCUGAAAGGGUGCAGGGGCCUGCCAUUGCACUGUAGUGCCCCCACCUCUCUGUCUCUGGACAGUCUAUGGGCAGUGCAGACAAAAGAUUAGACCUGCCAAACUUAGAUUAGACUUUUAAGAGUUUUAUGUGACACAAGGUAUACUAGAAAAAGGCCAUUUGGGCUCUGAUCCUAAGGAUUUUGAAGAUAAAAAAAUAAAUAAAUUCUGUCUGAACAGGGCAUAACUGAGGAUUCAGUGAGUACUGUAUAUGUAUAUAGUAGUGUAUAUGUGUGACACUAGGAACAUGACAUACAUAGCUGUGUGUGCUCCUUAUAUGUUGCCCUUAUUCAUUCAAAAAAUGCUUUCAAGCUAAGAUGCCUUCAAAUAUAAUGUAGUGAAAAGUUUCUACAUUUAAAAAAGAAAUAAACUUAAACUUAAAAUGUAUUUAAUUUUGAAUUUAUUUACUGUUUCUUAAAUUAGUUGUCUCAGAUACAUAUUGUGCAGUUUUAUAAGGAAAUUAGCUGGUAAGCUUUACUGAGCAUCUUGAAGAAUCUGCUGCAGUUCUGGAGACUUUGUCUGUUGCACUUUCUUCUUUUUCUUCUUAAGAAAUAGAGUUCCGUAGACGUUUGCACAAUAUUGUAUGACUGGUGGCUCAUGACAUAGAAUUGUAGAGGACAGCAGCUGCUGUGACUGUACCUUACCUUAUGGAUUAAAAUAUCCCAUAACAUGAAAUAAAGCCUGUGAAGCAGAGUGGUAAAGUUUAGUGGUAAAGGUUGAUUUAGGAAAAUCACAUAUCCCAUCCCUAACAUCAUUUAAAUGGUUGUAAAAUAAACAGUGAUCAGGAGUAUGUUAAUCCUAAAUAAAUAUAAGAAUCAGUGGAAUUAUUUUUAUUACUACAUCCUCAUGAUUACUAAGAAAUAUUUAUCACCCAUCUCACAACUUUCAUGCAGGGACAACUUUCCUGCAGAGUAAAGUCAUUAACAAGGGCAAAGGUUGAUUACCCAAUUCCUCAAUCGAAUUGUGAUUCAUCAGUAACCAAUAGUGUGAUUGGUUUGGCUGCACUGACCUCUGAAAGCCCUGCUUGGAAAAACCAACCA